ensembl:lncRNA
AUGAAGAAAACUUUUCUGAAGAUGAAGCUGAAGUCCAGUUCGAGUCUGUCUGAUCCUGCAGUGAGAGCCCAGCUCCUGUCACAGCUUCAGUCUGCUUUGGUGGAACGAGGGUUUUCUGACGUGACACUGCAAUGGUCUCAACCACCCAAACAGGAAGUGAUGCAGAAGGAAGCUGCACCAGGUGAGUGUGUUCAUGCAAACACUGGAAAACUGAAAAGGAAUGUUGAUUUUGAAGUAAAAUGAAUAUGUCUAGAUUACAAAUGAAAUAGGAAAUUAUGUCUUUAUAAUAUAAUUAAUUUUAUUUACAGCUCAGUGUGCUCGAAGAAAGAGAUCAUGAUGGGGAAAGAUCUCCUUGGAUCACCUUCAGCUUUCAUUUACAACGUCUAUUUGAAAAUGCUUCGACAUUUUUGGGAGAUGUGAGCUCCAGGGAGUCAGCAGCUGUUCUGUGCUCCUGAACCCGCCGAGAGCAGCCUCACCUCGGCCAGAUCUUCUUGAAAUCACCGCUGGCUCCGAUGACUCUAAAGCAAAUAGUUUUGACUGAAGGCAAGGUUUCGUCACGUUAUAUUUUAUGUAACUUUAAAGCUGUAAAUCAGAGCGCUGCCUUUGUACUUUUGACUGAAUAACCUAGCAACUUUUAUGAUGGCUGUUAUUAAAUAUUAUUAUUCAAUAAAUAUUUAUAUAUUUCACAUAAUCAUCAAUAAAGUGUAUUCUGAGAUCUGAGGUCUUAUAUCACUGUAUUAGUUCAGUGAGGUGCGUUACGCUCGUUGGGGAAUCCUGGAGUGUGAUGUGAGGGGAUCUCCAGUAUUACAGCACAGUGUCACACAAGCCAUGAUACAAAGUUAUGGAAACUAAGCAACUGAAAGCAAUUUUGUGAAUGAAUGACUUAAUCCACCUGUUGCUUUGGUCUUCAUCAACACUGCUUGCGCCACCUGCUGGUGAGCGACUGACAGCAGCUGGAGCUCAUGCAUCGGUGCUCUACUGCUAUUCCUGCAGAUCCCGGAUGUGCAAUGGCGAAUUUUCUAGCAAAUUUGGGAAGUGAAAUAAAAUGGACCGAAAUUUGACUGUCGAAUAAUAUACAUCGUAUUUUUAAACAGAUUGAAUAUUUUGGAAGUGCAUUCUGGAAGAUGAAUAUGAAUUAUUGAAUUUUUAUUAUGAAAGCGUGUGUGAAAUAUUUUAUAUUCACAGCUUAAAUAAACUAUGUUAAAUUUCAGGGCCUAAAAAUACAAGCCCUAGAAAUACAAGCCAUUUAAAUGCGAGAACUGUUAAUGCAAUGCAUUAUUUUUUCAGUUAGUGCUAUUCAACAUGCUUUUUUGUUUCAAAUACAUAUGGCAUUAUUUUACUUCCAUACUCAGCAUGCCUAAGGCAAAAUAAACAUCUUCCACAUUUGGCCCAAAAGUUCUUGCUGUAUGGAGAGAACAUGGUCAUUUGCUUACCUGCAGUCGAGUCGUUCACACGCAGGGACUUUUCGACGAAAGGAGGCUAUUGCAUCUGUUUCAAAUUAUUGUAUGUAAAUAUCCAAAGAUCCAGAGCUGUUUUUGUUCUCUGUGUUAUGAGAGUUAAACCACUCCAGACGACUCCAUCCAUGAGUGAGGUAAAUUAUUCAAAUUGAACAGUGAAUCGAUUCAGACCUUUACGCUUUUCAUUUGACCGUUUGGAAAAGAACCAACUCAAAAGAGUGAUUCAUUCCCAGAUAGCACAGGUGCGUCUGCAAGAUGUCUGUUAAAGAUCGCUUCAUCUGGAAAGCAUCUGUGUACAAGCAUCUGAUAGAUGUCUUUAAGAUGUCAGUUUUACUUUCAUUCUAAAUAAUAAACAUCUUAAAGACAUCUUCUAAAUGUCUAUUUGACAUCUGAUAGGAAACGUCCUUUAUAGUAUUGCAGAUGAUGAAUAAACACUAAAAAAUACGUCUUGCAGAUGUAAAAAUAGACAUCUCCGUGUGCUGUCAGGGUUCACGCACAUCUAGAUCUAAUUCUUAACUGUAUAUUCGAUACACACGACAUUGCUUAAGUAUUGUGGUGGGAAAUGAUUUUCAAGAUGGUAAAUUCAUUUCCAGUGACUUUUUUUUUUUUUUUGGUGGAUGGGCAAAUCAGCGCCCUAGGACUAUAUCGCCUAAUGCCACACAGAAAAUGACCUGGAAUUGUUAAAGGACAAAACUGCAUAUAUAUAAUUACACCUUUUGUAAAACUACUAAAAGGUGUGUCUAUAAAACGUCACUGUUUUUCCAUUGGCUUUUAAUUGAUUUUAGAGUGAAGACAAUUCAAAUUUUGCAAUGUAACAUUAACCUUUUAUUUUAGAGAAAAAGGUAUUCGAGAAAUAUCAGUUACAAACAUAUUUAAAACAGCAGCAGUAGUUCAGUUGCAUUUACGUAUUUUUCAUUUCAGCUUUAGCCACACGCAGAAGAAUAAUCUAGGGCUCUGUACAUCUGCAAUUAUGGUGGUCAACGAUAAUUAGAUACUGGCACUUACUACUAUAACUCCAAUUUAUUUAUUUGUUAGUCUAGUGUUUACAAACCUUGCAUCGUAUACUAUGAAUAUUAUUGCUCUGUGAUAAAUUGCUCGUCAUAUUUCUCAUUUGUAAGUCAUUUUAGGAUAAAAGCACCUUAAGGUAAACGUAAAUCAGCUAAUAUGAGGAAUUCUGUUAAAUCAAACAUGUCUUAACUCAUUUGGCUACUAUUAUUUUACAGAGGAUUAAGAGAGUUUUAUCUUAUUUUAUUACUGAACAACAUGUCUUAAUUUUUUAAAGGGAAAUCUGUUCUUUUGGAAAACAUUCCCACAGUUUAACGUCUUCUGUGAAGCCCUUAUCUUUCAGCAUCUGCUCAAUCCGAAGAAUAGAAACCAAGAAGAGCGUUACAAUUAUUCAGUACUCAAAAACGAUUUGGACACUUAAGCCACUCUUAAUAUAAAUAUAAAUAUAUAUAUAUAUAUACACACACACACACAGGUGCUGGUCAUAUAAUUAGAAUAUCAUCAAAAAGUUGAUUUAUUUCACUAAUUCCAUUCAAAAAGUGAAACUUGUAUAUUAUAUUCAUUCAUUACACACAAACUGGUAUAUUUACAUUUU